rnacentral:lncRNA from 1 species
GCGAUGACUAAGAUGUCAGUGCUGGCCAAAGGGGGCGCCGAGAAGCUGAAGGAAAGAAGACGCAGAAUGUUAGAUUAAAGGAGGCAGGAUGGGCUAAAUACUCCUAUACAGUCCACGCAAAGAGGGGUUGGACGAGCUCGGGUAUAUCUUUUUUUCUUCCAGGUUUCUGGGGUAGAAGGGAGGAGGCAUAAGAGGUACAAUAGUUUAUUUCAAGGUAGGGUUGUUGGUGCUUUUUUUUUUUCAGUUUCACCAAAAUCUUUUUUUUUUUUCAAUGUCAACAAAAUGUGCUAGCUAACGUGGGCAGGAAAAAUGAGCUCCA